rnacentral:rRNA from 1 species
AGGACGAACGCUGGCGGCGUGCUUAACACAUGCAAGUCACGGGGGCCCGCAAGAGCAACCGGCGAACGGGUGCGUAACACGUGAGCAACCUGCCGAUCUGAGGGGGAUAGCCGGCCCAACGGCCGGGUAAUACCGCAUACGGUUUUGAGGGACAUCCCUUAGGAACGAAACCUCCGGGGCAGAUCGAGGGGCUCGCGGCCUAUCAGCUAGUUGGCGGGGUAACGGCCCACCAAGGCGACGACGGGUAGCUGGU